rnacentral:piRNA from 1 species
UAGUAGACCUAGAGCAUCCAAAAA